rnacentral:rRNA from 1 species
GCAGCAGCCGCGGUAAUACGUAGGGUGCAAGCGUUAAUCGGAAUUACUGGGCGUAAAGCGUGCGCAGGCGGUUUGUUAAGACAGAUGUGAAAUCCCCGGGCUCAACCUGGGAACUGCAUUUGUGACUGGCAAGCUAGAGUGUGGCAGAGGGGGGUGGAAUUCCGCGUGUAGCAGUGAAAUGCGUAGAUAUGCGGAGGAACACCGAUGGCGAAGGCAGCCCCCUGGGCCAACACUGACGCUCAUGCACGAAAGCGUGGGGAGCAAACAGGAUUAGAUACCCCGGUAGUCCCUGUCUCUUAUAC